AUCCUCACAAACAUUAGUGUUUCCCCCUUGUUUCUUUAUUGAAUAAACUGCACACUGCUCGAUAUGCUUCUUUUGGUUGUGCACCUUUUAUACUUGUCGAGUAGUAGUACCUGAAAUAGGAAAUCAGAGAGAUGCCUUUAAAAUGUUGACUGUUCAAAGCCAUAUAUAGAAGAAAAUUGACAAAAAUAUGAUGAGAUUUCUCACUGCUUGUAAUGCAGGGAAUAGUGGCAGCAGGGCUUACUCAGUAUAGAGCAUACUCCACAGAUGAAGUAAGUAUCAUUCUUGUCUUCUGGAAUUGUCAUAGUAGAGUAUUAGUUGCUGAAUCAAAGUUGUUGACCUGUAUUUCUCUUAUGAGAACAGGUAAUGGC
rnacentral:lncRNA from 1 species